rnacentral:rRNA from 1 species
CCUACGGGUGGCAGCAGUGGGGAAUAUUGCACAAUGGGGGGAACCCUGAUGCAGCGACGCCGCGUGAGCGAGGAAGUAUUUCGGUAUGUAAAGCUCUAUCAGCAGGGACGAAAAAAGACGGUACCUGACUAAGAAGCCCCGGCUAACUACGUGCCAGCAGCCGCGGUAAUACGUAGGGGGCAAGCGUUAUCCGGAUUUACUGGGUGUAAAGGGAGCGUAGACGGCAAGGCAAGCCAGAAGUGAAAGGGCAGGGCUCAACCCUGUACAUGCUUUUGGAACUGUGGUGCUAGAGUGCAGGAGAGGUAAGUGGAAUUCCUAGUGUAGCGGGGAAAUGCGUAGAUAUUAGGAGGAACAUCGGUGGCGUAAGCGCUUUACUGGGCCGUAAUUGACGCUGAGGAACGAAAGCCAGGGUAGCAAAUGGGAUUAGAUACCCUGGUAGUC